rnacentral:sRNA from 1 species
AUUUCCAAAUCAAUUCCAGCAACGUUUUUGCGCUAAGACGAAGUAUAUCAAUUUUUUUCUCGUUCCUAUUUCUGUGAGGCAACGCACGAUAAAAAGCUAAUACAAGAUGUGUGGAUAUGGCUGUGGCGGCUAUGGAUAUUGGGGCUCCUGUGGGCCCAGUUACGGGUGUGGACCCUGGGGUGUUUGCGGAGGUUGUGGUCCGUGUGCCUGUGGGCCCAAGGGUAAUGGUCCAGCGGGUCCAUCCUGUUGGCCGUUCGGAUUAUAUACGUGCUAGACUUUGGAAGGAAAUUAGGAACAAUUGCAUCUGAAAUCUAUUGGAAUAUGUUAUUACUUCUUUCCUGGAUGCUCUUCUGCAGAAGGGCAGCAAGUAAACCAUUAACAAAAAGAUGAAUGCUGUAAUUAUAGCGCUAAAUAAAACUCGUACUGUCUUGGCUAAUA